GGAAGGGGUUGUUUGAGUAUCAUUUUGAAAUAAUUUAGGUAUUUUUUGGAGAAACAUUUGACAUUAAUUUAGGAUGAGAACAAAUUUAGGGGUGAGGGUUGGUAUUGUUAGCAAUACAUGUGAAUAGUGACUGCAUACUUUUUUACCACUUGUUUUCAUUGAACUUAUCACUAAAUUUCAUUAUGGUUUACUAAACUUUAAUUUCUAUAAGAAAAAUCACUUCACUUUGAUUUUGUUCAGUGAGAUAGCAAUUGUCAAACUCUAAUAGAAA
rnacentral:misc_RNA from 1 species